AACGAACGCUGGCGGCAUGCCUAACACAUGCAAGUCGAACGAGACCUUCGGGUCUAGUGGCGCACGGGUGCGUAACGCGUGGGAACCUGCCCUUAGGUUCGGAAUAACUCCCCGAAAGGGGUGCUAAUACCGGAUAAUGUCUUCGGACCCAAGAUUUAUCGCCUUUGGAUGGGCCCGCGUUGGAUUAGCUAGUUGGUAGGGUAAACGCCUACCAAGGCGACGAUCCAUAGCUGGUCUGAGAGGAUGAUCAGCCACACUGGGACUGAGACACGGCCCAGACUCCUACGGGAGGCAGCAGUGGGGAAUAUUGGACAAUGGGCGAAAGCCUGAUCCAGCAAUGCCGCGUGAGUGAUGAAGGCCUUAGGGUUGUAAAGCUCUUUUACCCGGGAUGAUAAUGACAGUACCGGGAGAAUAAGCUCCGGCUAACUCCGUG
rnacentral:rRNA from 1 species